UACGGAAGGCAGCAGUGGGGAAUAUUGCACAAUGGGCGAAAGCCUGAUGCAGCUAUGCCGCGUGUAUGAAGAAGGCCUUAGGGUUGUAAAGUACUUUCAUUGGGGAGGAAAAAACAAAACUAAUAAUUUUAUUUCUUGACGUUACCCGAAAAAGAAGCACCGGCUAACUCCGUGCCAGCAGCCGCGGUAAUACGGAGGGUGCUAGCGUUAAUCAGAAUUACUGGGCGUAAAGAGCACGUAGGUGGUUUUUUUAAGUCAGAUGUGAAAUCCCUGGGCUUAACCUAGGAACUGCAUUUUGAAACUGAAAUACUAGAGUAUCGUAGAGGGAGGUAGAAUUCUAGGUGUAGCGGUGAAAUGCGUAGAUAUCUGGAGGAAUACCUGUGGCGAAAGCGGCCUCCUAAACGAAUACUGACACUGAGGUGCGAAAGCGUGGGGAGCAAACAGGGAUUAGAUACC
rnacentral:rRNA from 1 species